rnacentral:rRNA from 1 species
AGAGUUUGAUUAUGGCUCAGGAUGAACGCUAGCUACAGGCUUAACACAUGCAAGUCGAGGGGCAGCGAGAGUGUAGCAAUACACUUGUCGGCGACCGGCGCACGGGUGAGUAACGCGUAUCCAACCUGGCCCAUAGUAGGGGGUAGCCCGGCGAAAGUCGGAUUAAUACCCUAUGUUCUUUACAGCGGACAUCUGACGUAAAGCAAAGAUUGGAUCGCUAUGGGAUGGGGAUGCGUCCGAUUAGCUUGCCGGCGGGGUAACGGCCCACCGGGGCUACGAUCGGUAGGGGUUCUGAGAGGAAGGUCCCCCACAUUGGUACUGAGACACGGACCAAACUCCUACGGGAGGCAGCAGUGAGGAAUAUUGGUCAAUGGGCGUGAGCCUGAACCAGCCAAAGUAGCGUGCAGGAAGACGGCCCUACGGGUUGUAAACUGCUUUUGCCGGGGAAUAAAGUGCGCCACGCGUGGCGUUUUGUAUGUACCCGGAGAAUAAGGACCGGCUAAUUCCGUGCCAGCCGCCGC